UUAUAUUUAUCUUAUGGUGCAAUUUCCAAUUGUAUUUUACCUCGAUGCUUUAAUCCGUGUGUUCAUGGUGUAAGGGCUAGCAUACUUCCGAAGAAAUAGCCGGCUAGGUACUCCGCUUUAUGUAUGGGAAGACUUUCAUGGAGAUGGACUCUAAAUUAUUUCACUUCAAUGUGAAAAUUCAUAUUGGUUGCCUAACCAAUUUAAUGUAUUGAUCUUUAAUGUGUUGAUUUUAAUGUAUCGAUUUAAUGCGG
rnacentral:lncRNA from 1 species